CAGUCGCCGCGGUAAUACGUAGGGUGCAAGCGUUAAUCGGAAUUACUGGGCGUAAAGCGUGCGCAGGCGGUCCGCUAAGACAGAUGUGAAAUCCCCGGGCUUAACCUGGGAACUGCAUUUGUGACUGGCGGGCUAGAGUAUGGCAGAGGGGGGUAGAAUUCCACGUGUAGCAGUGAAAUGCGUAGAGAUGUGGAGGAAUACCGAUGGCGAAGGCAGCCCCCUGGGCCAAUACUGACGCUCAUGCACGAAAGCGUGGGGAGCAAACAGGAUUAGAUACCCGUGUAGUCCCUGUCUCUUAUAC
rnacentral:rRNA from 1 species